CCUACGGGAGGCAGCAGUGGGGAAUAUUGCACAAUGGGGGAAACCCUGAUGCAGCGACGCCGCGUGAGUGAAGAAGGAAUUCGUUAUGUAAAGCCCUAUCAGCAGGGAAGAAAAUGACGGUACCUGAGUAAUAAGCCCCGGCUAACUACGUGCCAGCAGCCGCGGUAAUACGUAGGGGGCAAGCGUUAUCCGGAUUUACUGGGUGUAAAGGGUGCGUAGGCGGGGGAGCAAGUCAGAGGUGAAAGGCUGGGGCUCAACCCCCGGACUGCUCUGGAAACUGUAAGGCUGGAGUGCGGGAGAGGUAAGUGGAAUUCCUGGUGUAGCGGUGAAAUGCGUAGAGAUUAAGAGGAACACCAAUUGCGAAGGCGACUUACUGGACUGUAACUGACGUUGAUGCACGAAAGCGUGGGGAGCAAACAGGAUUAGAUACCCUUGUAGUC
rnacentral:rRNA from 1 species